rnacentral:rRNA from 1 species
AUUGAACGCUGGCGGCAGGCUUAACACAUGCAAGUCGAGCGGUAGCACAGGGGACCUUGCUCCCUGGGUGACGAGCGGCGGGCGGGUGUGACAUGUCUGGGACACUGCUUGAUGGAGGGGGAUAACUACUGGAAACGGUAGCUAAUACCGCAUAACGUCGCAAGCCCAAAGAGGGGGAGCUACGGGCCUCUUGCCAUCAGAUGUGCCCAGAUGGGAUUAGCUAGUAGGUGGGGUAAUGGCUCACCUAGGCGACGAUCCGUAGCUGGUCUGAGAGGAUGACCAGCCACACUGGAACUGAGACACGGUCCAGACUCCUACGGGAGGCAGCAGUGGGGAAUAUUGCACAAUGGGCGAAAGCCUGAUGCAGCCAUGCCGCGUGUGUGAAGAAGGCCUUCGGGUUGUAAAGCACUUUCAGCGAGGAGGAAGGUGGUGGGCUUAAUACGUUCAUCAAUUGACGUUACUCGCAGAAGAAGCACCGGCUAACUCCGUG